rnacentral:rRNA from 1 species
AAAGGAAUAGACGGGGGCCCGCACAAGCGGAGGAACAUGUGGUUUAAUUCGAUGAUACGCGAGGAACCUUACCCGGGUUUGAACGGAUGCUGCAUAUAUAUGAAAGUAUAUAGUCGCAAGACAGCAUUCGAGGUGCUGCAUGGUUGUCGUCAGCUCGUGCCGUGAGGUGUCGGGUUAAGUCCCAUAACGAGCGCAACCCUUGCCGACAGUUGCCAUCAGGUAAUGCUGGGGACUCUGUCGGGACAGCCGGUGUAAACCGCGAGGAAGGCGGGGAUGACGUCAAAUCAGCACGGCCCUUACAUCCGGGGCUACACACGUGUUACAAUGGACGGUACAGAGGGCAGCGAUCAGGCGACUGUCAGCGAAUCCUCAAAGCCGUUCUUAGUUCGGAUCGGAGUCUGCAACCCGACUCCGUGAAGCCGGAUUCGCUAGUAAUCGCGCAUCAGCCACGGCGCGGUGAAUACGUUCCCGGGCCUUGUACACACCGCCCGU